rnacentral:rRNA from 1 species
ACGUAGGAGGCGAGCGUUAUCCGGAUUCACUGGGCGUAAAGCGCGUGCAGGCGGUUUGGUAAGUUGAUCGUGAAAGCUCCCGGCUCAACUGGGAGAGGUCGUUCAAUAUUACCGAACUAGAGAGCAGAAGAGGAAGAUGGAAUUCCCGGUGUAGUGGUGAAAUGCGUAGAUAUCGGGAGGAACACCAGUGGCGAAGGCGAUCUUCUGGUCUGUUUCUGACGCUCAGACGCGACAGCUAGGGUAGUAAACGGGA